GACGGGGGCGGUACACCUGCCAAAGCGUAACGCAGGUGUCCGAAGGCGAGCUCAGGGGGGACGGAAACCUCCCGCCGGGCAGAAGGGCAGAAGCUCACUUGAUCUUGAUUAGGUGUUCAAGGAACGUGUGGACGUGG
rnacentral:ncRNA from 1 species